AUGGAGCGACGGGAUCUGGGUGCAUGGCUUGGCCUAGCAACAGGCGGCGGCGCCGCGUGGCACACCCACGACGGCGAGCGGCGGCCUGACCCUGUCCGGCUCGACGAGCUGUUCCCGCAGCGCGGCAAAGAGGAGCGUGAUCAUGGCGAACAAGUGGCGAGAAAUACGGGAGGGAAAGGUGCAAGGCGGAAGAUAAAGGUCGGCGGCGAUGACGAGGGCCGAUCGUCCUCGUCGAACGGUCCGUGUCUGAGCGAUGGCGGUGGCAGUGAUGGCGGCGGCGGCGGGGGCAGGAGGAAGAAGCUCCGGCUCACCAAGGAGCAGUGCGCCCUGCUGGAAGGCAGCUUCCGUGCCCACAACAUACUUUCUCAUGUUCAGAAGCAGGAGCUGGCACGGCAGCUGAAUCUGAGCUCGAGGCAGGUGGAAGUGUGGUUCCAAAAUAGAAGAGCCAGGACAAAGCUGAAGCAGACGGAGGUGGACUGCGAGUUCCUGAAGCGGUGGUGCGAGAGCCUGACCCACGAGAACCAGCAGCUGAAGCACGAGCUCCUGGAGCUGCGGCGGUCGGCGGUGGCGCCGGUGGCAGCCGGCUCAAAGCUCUUUGCCCAGCUCCCCAGGGCGGCGGCCAUGAUGAACUUAUGCCCGUCCUGCGAGAAGGUCGCCGUGAAUAAUUAG
rnacentral:rRNA from 1 species